rnacentral:rRNA from 1 species
AGCGCAGACGGUUAUUUAAGUCUGAAGUGAAAGCCCUCAGCUCAACUGAGGAAUGGCUUUGGAAACUGGAUGACUUGAGUGCAGUAGAGGAAAGUGGAGCUCCAUGUGUAGCGGUGAAAUGCGUAGAUAUAUGGAAGAACACCAGUGGCGAAGGCGGCUUUCUGGACUGUAACUGACGUUGAGGCUCGAAAGUGUGGGUAGCGAACA